CACCCAUCCGGUACCAUUCUCUUCUUUCUUUUCUUCUACCCUUGAUGAAAUCAACGCCGCCUCUGUUCCUUUCUUCCUCAAGUCUGAAUUCUCCCCCACCAAAGAACCACUAAACUCCUCCAUAAAUACACAACAUUGAUCCAAUUACUAUUCGGCCAGUGAAGAGACUUUGGGCAUUAAUUUGAGUGUUAGAGAUUGGUGCUGCAAGGAAGGAGGAGUAGGGUAUUCAUCAGAUCAAGGUGACACUAUUGAUUCCAUUGAGAUUCACAGGCAACUAAGUAGUCAGCCGGUAUCAGAUUCAGAUCAUUCAAUUUAUCUUGUUGGUAGGCCUCCUUUGGUUGGUGGCUCGAUUGGUGUCUUUUAUUUGAUUCUAGUUAUCUGCAGCUAUAGGGAGUCUUAGAAUGAUUUGGAUUUAAGAUUGUUAUUUAUUGUUUUAUUGUAAAAGUUGCACUUGAGUGCUAAAAUUGAAAAUUUCCUUUUAAUGAAAGUAUGAAAAUGGAGAUCAUUAUUUGACAUGA